rnacentral:rRNA from 1 species
UUUGCCAGGGAACUACGAGCCCCAGCUUAAAACCCAAAGGACUUGGCGGUGCUUUAGACCCACCUAGAGGAGCCUGUUCUAGAACCGAUAACCCCCGUUCAACCUCACCCUUUCUUGUUUAACCCGCCUAUAUACCGCCGUCGUCAGCUUACCCUAUGAAGGAUAAAUAGUGAGCAAAAUUGGAAAACCCUAAAACGUCAGGUCGAGGUGUAGCGUACGAGAGGGGAAGAAAUGGGCUACAUUUACUGUCUCAGUAAACACGAACAAUACCUUGAAACCAGGCAUUUGAAGGAGGAUUUAGCAGUAAGGGGGGAAUAGAGCGCUCCCCUGAAACUGGCCCUGAAGCGCGCACACACCGCCCGUCACUCUCCCCAAAACACAAUACACCAAUAAGUAAACAAAGACAUAUACAAAGGGGAGGCAAGUCGUAACAUGGUAAGUGUACCGGAAGGUGCACUUGGAAAAAC